CUUAUACUCCCUCCGUCCGAAAAUACUUGUCGGAGAAAUGGAUGAAAAUGGAUGUAUCUAAAACUAAAUUACGUCUAGAUACAUCCAUUCCUCUGACAAGUAUUUUCGGACAGAGGGAGUACUUA
rnacentral:pre_miRNA from 1 species